UACGUAGGGGGCAAGCGUUAUCCGGAUUUACUGGGUGUAAAGGGAGCGUAGGCGGCUGUGUAAGCCAGAAGUGAAAGCCCGGGGCUCAACUCCGGGACUGCUUUUGGAACUACAUGGCUUGAUUGCAGGAGAGGCAAGUGGAAUUCCUAGUGUAGCGGUGAAAUGCGUAGAUAUUAGGAGGAACACCAGUGGCGAAGGCGGCUUGCUGGACUGUAAAUGACGCUGAGGCUCGAAAGCGUGGGGAGCAACCAGG
rnacentral:rRNA from 1 species